rnacentral:rRNA from 1 species
CGAAAGUUACGCUAAUACCGCAUAUUCUGUGAGCAGGAAAGCAGGGGAUCGCAAGACCUUGCGCUGAUUGAGCGGCCGAUAUCAGAUUAGCUAGUUGGUGAGGUAAAGGCUCACCAAGGCGACGAUCUGUAGCGGGUCUGAGAGGAUGAUCCGCCACACUGGAACUGAGACACGGCCCAGACUCCUACGGGAGGCAGCAGUAGGGAAUAUUGGACAAUGGGGGAACCCUGAUCCAGCCAUGCCGCGUGAGGGAAGAAGGUCCUCUGGAUUGUAAACCUCUUUUGGCAGGAAACAAACCUGCGCUAUACGCGCAGCUGAGGGUACCUGCAGAAUAAGCACCGGCUAACUCCGUG